GGGAUUUAUACAUCAAAAAUAAGAAAACACACAGCAUUUUGUCACACAAUGUUUCGUGUGUGGGUUGCAUGAAGCUGUUGGAGGCUGAACAGAGACGUUAGACUGAUUUAAAAUGAUUAUGAACAUGGACGGGAUUGUGCUGAGGCUGCUCAUGUUUGUGGUGUGUGUUGGAGGAGCAGCAGAGUUCAGAACGCGUACAGGCGCACGAGGCGCCGCUUUCACGAGAUUAAGACGUGAGAGCAACACAGCUAAACCUGCAAAGAAUGGGAGCUCCAAUCAGAUUGCAACCUUCAUAUCCUGUGGAUAGAUAAGAACAGAUAACAACCAAAAAUUACCCAAGACCUGUUUCCAAAUGCUACUAAUAGUACAGUUCAAGAAUAGAAUAAAAAGGACAG
ensembl:lncRNA